rnacentral:misc_RNA from 1 species
AACCAUAGAAACCUGCGGAGUACCUGCGGAGGGAUCAUUACAGAGUUGCAAAACUCCCUAAACCAUUGUGAACGUUACCUAAACCGUUGCUUCGGCGGGCGGCCCGGGUCCUUCCCGGCGCCCCUCGGCCCUCGCGGGCGCCCGCCGGAGGUAAACCAAACUAUUGCAUUUGUAUGGCCUCUCUGAGUCUUCUGUACUGAAUAAGUCAAAACUUUUAACAAUGGAUCUCAGAUCGGAAGA